rnacentral:lncRNA from 1 species
CUUUGAAAAUUAAUAUAUAUUCUUUUUGUUCAAUCAUAUGUGUAAAAUAUCGUAAAAUUUAUGUACAACACGUAUAUAAUACUUUCAAUAUCAAAAUUACAAAAAAUUAACCAUUCAUUUUUUUUUUCUUUUUGUUAAUAGGGUUGGGCUUGAUAAAUGAAAUUAUCAGAUAGGGGGAGUACCAAGCAUAAACCCCUUAUUGCAAAAACAAAACAUUUAGACUACAUGUGUCCAAAAUAAUAUCAGGAUCAGAAUCUUUGUAUAAGACAUGUAUUCUAACAAACGCCAAAGAGCAAAGAAUGCUCUGAUAACUACGUAAUUUGCUUUCAUUUAGCGCUGGCAUAAAAGAAAGAUAAGUCUAUAUGUGACCCGAUUACAACGUAGGAUAUUUACCAUAAGCACAACUUUCCCACCAUGUUGUCAUUGGAGUGUAAAUCCGACAAAAUUAAGCUUCACUGUGCCACUAGGCAAUGACGGCCACUUAAUGAAGUAAGGAAUACACGGCUUACAAACCUAGAGCAGACAAGACACUUUGAUUUUACAUACAUGUUUUUAAUUUGAUUAGUCAUGCAUAGUUAAUGUAGGUACUUUUUUUCUCGCAUAAUACGCGACAUAACUAAUCAACAAAAAUAAAGAAGAACAAUCAGUAAUAUAAAAACUAGAGCACACUCCAAAGUCUUUAGCCUAUGGCAAGCCCACCAACAAUGUCACAACCCGAAAGAUUAUACCAGUAAGUGGGCCGAACCUAGCCCUCCCGGACCAAGUCCAUAGAUGCAACACCCACCAUAGUGUCAUAUCAUUAACAUAUCUUCGUAUUCGUCCGACCCUCGAUGCAUGAAGCCAAACAACCUACGGCAACCCAUAGUUGGAAGUUCUACCGCAAGAUCUGACUUAACGUCCGAUCACCAUCAUCAGCCAACCAAUUGGUGUCCAAUUUAUUCCAUCCCUAAGCUACGCUAACAUGCAUUUGAAAGUUGAAUACAAGUCGCUACCCGCCAACAGCUACAUGAUAUCGCUCUCAACCUGCAAUCCAUCCCUAUUCUCAUUAAUCAUAUGCUGCAACUACUCCUUUCCCUCAAGAGAGACGAGGUAGAUCGAACACUUCGACCUGAUCCCAUCAUCAGCCUGAGACACGACCAUAAGAGAACCUAUCCAUCUAGCUGCAUCCAACAUGCACCGAUUAGGCCAGAGAACGUUGCAAACAUUAGGAUAGCUGGACCGGCAUCAUGCCAGCCAACAACAUCAGGAGAGGGAGAGAUUGUUUUCUAGGGUUUAGAGAGAGAGGCGCCGGCUUUUGUACAAAAUAUUCUUAAGAAAAAAAAAAGAGAGAAAUAUUCCAAUUAUACAUAAUACAUUAAUGCACAUUGCUUGGCCACCUUGACAGGUUCAGAGUCUAAUUACUUGGACAUAACCAAUCAAGAGUCUAAUUGCUUGGACAUAACCAAUUAAACAAGAACAACUAAACCACUUGCCGUGAUUAAGUUUUUGAAAUACUUACCUAAAAACCUAUCCAAUAACGUUUUUGAAAACGAUAUUCAUAUAAGAGCAUCUUUAACAUACUCUCUACUUUAACCCCUUCGCUAUUUUAGAGAGCGUGUUUAGUUUUUUUUUGGAUGUUUUAGGAGCUCUAGCAGACUAGCCAAACUUGAGCUAUUAUGACUUUUAGCUAUCUCGUUAGCUAAAUGACUCAGAUGAGGCUAGCUAUAAUUUAAUAUAUUCAUUGUAAGAUAUUUUAUGUGAUACAUAAAUAUAUUUAAACUAUUUAAUUUCUAUUUGAAGAAUAAUGUCGAUGUAAUACUAGCUAAAAUAUAGAGCAUUGAGAGCAACUUUAACAGACUCUCUAUUUUAGUUUUUAGCUAUUUUAGAGAACGUGUUUAACUUUUUUGGAUGUUUUAAGAGCUCCAACAGACUAGCCAAACUUGAGCUAUUAUAGCUAGUGAGAUAACUCAAAUGAGAUUAGCUAUAAUUUAAUACAUUCCUUGUAAGAUAUUUAUGUGAUAUAUAAAUAUAUUUAAAUUAUUUAAUUUCUAUUUGAAGAAUAGAUGUAAUGCUAGCUAAAAUAGAGAGCAUUGAUGCAACCACAUUUCUAAAAUGACUAGCCAAAAUAACAUUUUAGCUAAUUUAACUAAAAUUUAACUUUAAAAUAGGUAGCAUUACUAAAAACGCUCUAAAUGAAUCUAAUCAAUAAAUCUUUAUAUGGCAGCUUCAUAAGUGGGUCAAAUCAAUUCAAUAUCAAUCUAAUUUUAUAGGCCUGCAGCCACCAUGGAGUUAGCACAUAAGUCCUCGAGUCAAAGAUGUGUUUAACAAUUAUAAAAUUUAAUGCAUGAGAAGUCAAUCAUAUGGUUCUUACUUAUCUCAUACUAUAUAUCAUCUUCAGUCUGUGAGUUAUGAUCUGUUUGUUGUUUAUCCCUAUUUAUAAUUUGUAUUAAUAAGGAUUAUAAAUUUCCAUUUCAUUAGAAUAUAACAAUAUAUAAGUGCCUCUUUGAGGGAAAAAAAUAAAAAAUAAACACCAAUGUGUGUGUAAAAAGUUUUCAACAAAAUAUGCAUAUUUUUCAUUGUUUUAUCCUAACACUCUCAAAACUAGACAAAUCAAUAGCAUAGCCUGAAAACUAAACCUGAUCAGUCUACAACAUGAUAAUGAAAUUUAAGAACACCAGGAAAUUUGAUGGGAAAGAGUGACAAUAUCUGAACAUGUAUAUAUAUACAUGUGAUUAUGUGAAAUGUGAAAGGUUAGAGUGUGAAGAAGAUGAUUGUAGAUUGCUAAUACAGCAAGCUUGUGCUAACAGAAUGUCAUGCAUGCGCCUUAAGCGUGGCUUCAGAAUAUUGUUAAUAAUUUUAGAUUCUAAACACUAUGCAUGAUCGAAUUACAUCUUAGCAUGUAAGCAACAAAAAGAAAAUUACAGCACAGUAUAUGAGAUUAUGCACGCGCCAAUAAAACUGGUAUGGUAUGGUUAAUUAUUAGCAUCUGUGUUUUAAUAUUAUGGUGUAUCUGACACCUUUGAUACAUGUGAUAUCAUGGUUUUUUUUUAUGAGAAUGUGAUAUCAUGGUGAGAUUUAUUACCGUUGGAUCCAAUGGCAUUUUGGGGCAGAUACAUCUUUAUUUAUACGUAUAUUUUACACUAUAGACUCUGAAAUGUUACUUGUGAUCUGUGAAUGCUCUGAGGAAUUACAAGUCUUUGUGAAUAAUCACUAUUUUAGUAUGAAAACGAUAGAAUUAUGAAGUUGUAGGGAUGAUAAUCUAUAUCUUAUGCGGAGUCACCAAUCACUUACAUUCAAUUUACGGGCGAACCCACCUUAGCUAGAUUGAUCAGUCAAAUUGGAUACCAAGAAUAAUGAAUGAUUUUUCCCUUGGAACAUGUAGGUGAUAAAUAAAUUAAACCCCUUUUUCUUCGUUUCUCAAAUUAAUUCCCUAUAUAUAUUGGCUUUCAUUUUGUCUUACAAUUCUAAUCAAGUUUCCAGAUUCCAGAUAUCGAGUCUCGAUCAUGUUUCAGCUGUUGAAAAGUGCUCCGGCAGUGAACUCCAUUAGGAGCCUCUCCCUUUAUUUCAAUGGCAGCGCCUCUCCCUUUUCAGGUGGAACCGGCCAAGCUACUAGAGUAAUUAAGAAAGGUGGUCGAUCUGACAAAUGAAGCCAACCAUCAACUAAUUAAAAAGAUAAAAAGAGGUCAAAUAUCUAGGACAUACGUAUCACGUGGCAGUACACCAAACCAACAAAACAGACGUAAUAUGUUACGGUAACACUGAUGUUAAUAUAAAAUUUCUUAGUCAUUUUGCCGCCAAGCCGCAGGGACAUCCAUACCUAAGAAAUUUUCCAUACAUGCAAAUAGAUCUAGUUUCUUUACGUUUUAUACACUAGUUGUUUCACCGUUACUUACAUGUCACCAAGGAUUGAAUCAACUAAUACACGAGUAAAUUUGUUGUUGAUAAAACUUAAGAAUGAUUUCUAGGUUCAGAAAUGAGGCACCCAGCUAGGCUAGGACCUUUAAUUUGCCCUUUACCAUCCAAAAAAAAUCUCUAGAAUUGAUAAGUUUUUUCGAUUACAACCAAACUCAUAAGUUGGUAAUAGCCGUUAUCAAAGAAUACCAAACUUAGUUAAAUUUGAUCAAAGAACUUGCAUUGUUAAAUAAGUUGUAACAUGCAUUAUCUAAUUGGUCGAGGCUGGAUAAAAAACAGAAAAAACAACUUUUUAAUCUAUAUAUGUAAUUCAAUGUGUAUAAUUAAGAACAAUGUGAUACGACAAAUUAACAAGAAAGAAGAACUCAAUUCUUCUUUCAAACAAUGGCUAUCACCCAAGAAAUCCUCUAUGUGCUUCUUACCAUACUCAGCUCAUCCUCUCUUUUUCUUCAUCACCAUUCGUGUAAUGCGCAAUCACUUGCAUCAUGCCAAUUCGGUUCAAUUUAUCAAUUUGGGGAUUCAUUUUCCGACACAGGAAACUUGGCUCUCGUGGCUCCGAAAGUACCCUGCAAUCAACCUCCCUACGGGCAAAGUUUGCCCAAUAAAGCAACCGGCCGAUGCUCUGAUGGGUUGUUGAUAGUCGACUACAUAGGUAUUAUUAUUUGUUUAACAUAUAGUUAAUUGGAUUCACUUAAAUUAAGUUUCUGUGCAUAGUUCUAAGGAACAAUCAUUGAAAAUUACAAACUUGUGUGCAUGCAUGGGACUGUUACGAUUGUAUGUUUAACACACACACACACAUAUAUAGUUAAGUUUUUGCUAGUACCUCCAAGAAAUUAAUACUUGAUGGAUAUUGAGAUCGAAUUACAAACUUGGAUGCAUGCAUGCAUGCAUAAACCCAAGUAACUAAUUUCAUUUGUAGUAAUCAUCCGUCUAUCUUAUUUAUUUUUGAAUUAUAUACCCUAGCUUAUUCUAGCGCUGAUUUUUAACAAUUCAUGAGGCUCGAGUCGUUCGAUUAAGCAACAAUAAGAAGUUAUUUUCUUAUGCAGCACAAGCAGCGGGUCUAUCUUUUAUUGAACCAUAUUUCAGCAAAAAUGCCACUCAUAGCAGUGGAGUAAAUUUCGCAAUGGCUGGGGCUCCUGCUUCUUCUUUAUAUGAAAAUCAAGAUUACGGGCAACGUAUACCGGCUAUGGAUCAUGAACAACUGGAUUUGUUUUCAAAAUAUUUGAAUGGAUCAUCUUGUAGUCAAGGUUGAGGAUCUGCUUCCUCUUUUAUAUAUAAAAUCUUCUUUGAAGUGUAAGUAGAUUCACUUGUUUCUUUUAGUUAAAAAUUUAUAUGUUUGGCAUGCAGAUCGACUUAAAAGGUCUCUAUUCAUUGUGGGACAAAUUGGACUCAAUGAUUACAAUAAUGGCUUAUUACAUGGAAAUAAAAGUUUUGAGGAGGUAAAGAAUAUGGUUCUCAAUGUAGUCCAAGCCAUUAAGGACGCUGUUAAAGUAAGUAAUCUAUCUCCUUGUAAAUAUUUGCCUCUGCAGUAAAACUUCAAGUUUGAGCUCUUGAAUUGGUUAUUCACCCAUCGAGUUAAAUUUUUUUUUUUUUUUUUUUUCAGUGGGUGAUUGGUUACGGUGCUGUAAAAGUCCUUGUCCCAGGACAAUGGCCAAUGGGUUGUUUGCCAAUUUACCUUUCACGUUUUCCCACUAAUGACACUGCUGCUUAUGAUCAAUUUCAUUGCCUAAAGGAUUGGAAUAGUAUUUCAGAUUGUCACAAUUACCAUCUGAGAAACGCCAUUGAAGAACUGAAGAAAGAAUACCCUGAUGUUACUAUCGUAUAUGCUGAUUAUUAUAGCGCUUUUGAAUGGAUACUCACUCAGCAAGAGGAGUUAGGUAAGUCACCUAAUCAAAAUCAUACCUUAUUGUUUCUAAGAAAACUAUUGAAAUGCAUGCUCUAAUAAUUAUAUAUAUAUAUAGUCCGUUUCAGAUACGGACGUCCGCACCGCUUUAAGGUGCGGAUUUCCCUCCGUUCGCCACCGUACGGCACCGGCGAGGGCGCGCCUCCACCCUAGCGGACUCCAGCAGCUUCCCCGACCACUUUCCCUCCCCAGCGAGUCCGCCGAAUUCCAGUUUUCCGGCCAGAUUAUCCAAAACUUCAAACAAAGUCAAUCUGGCCGGAAAACUGGAAUUCAGCGGACUCGCCAGGGAUGGAANNNNNNNNNNNNNNNNNNNNNNNNNNNNNNNNNNNNNNNNNNNNNNNNNNNNNNNNNNNNNNNNNNNNNNNNNNNNNNNNNNNNNNNNNNNNNNNNNNNNNNNNNNNNNNNNNNNNNNNNNNNNNNNNNNNNNNNNNNNNNNNNNNNNNNNNNNNNNNNNNNNNNNNNNNNNNNNNNNNNNNNNNNNNNNNNNNNNNNNNNNNNNNNNNNNNNNNNNNNNNNNNNNNNNNNNNNNNNNNNNNNNNNNNNNNNNNNNNNNNNNNNNNNNNNNNNNNNNNNNNNNNNNNNNNNNNNNNNNNNNNNNNNNNNNNNNNNNNNNNNNNNNNNNNNNNNNNNNNNNNNNNNNNNNNNNNNNNNNNNNNNNNNNNNNNNNNNNNNNNNNNNNNNNNNNNNNNNNNNNNNNNNNNNNNNNNNNNNNNNNNNNNNNNNNNNNNNNNNNNNNNNNNNNNNNNNNNNNNNNNNNNNNNNNNNNNNNNNNNNNNNNNNNNNNNNNNNNNNNNNNNNNNNNNNNNNNNNNNNNNNNNNNNNNNNNNNNNNNNNNNNNNNNNNNNNNNNNNNNNNNNNNNNUACUAUAAUAUAUAUAUAUAUAUAUAUAUAUAUAUAUAUAUAUAUAUAUAUAUCUGUAUGAUAUGCAGGGUUUGAGGCCGUAGACAAGUUAUGUUGUGGUGUUGAAGGUGAAGCGGACACUAGUGAAGUGAAAGCUUGUGGAAUUUCUCCUGAGGUGCAUGUGUGUGCCAAUCCGGGUAAUCUAAUUAGUUGGGACGGGAUUCAUAUGACACAACAAGCGCACAAGUAUAUAGCACAGAAACUCAUUCGAGACAUUUUACCUGAUCUUAAUUGUGGCCAAAGUUGAGAGCAGCAAAGAGUUUGGGAUCCUAUAACUAGGAAAAUUAUCACUUGUAGUUGCUCAAACAUUUGUGACUAUUUUUAUCAGGAAAAAAGAUAGAAUGUGUUUUAAUUGAUUUAUGAAGAAUCAUCAACUUUUAUACUUGCAUAUUCGGAUCAUUUAACUUGGAUAGAUCGAUGCAUGCAAAAGAAAGAGAAAUAUAUAUAAUCUUUUCGGGAUUGUUUAUGGUGCUAAGAUAUUUGUCACACACUCAUUUUACAACCAAAUUAAACCAAAAUUAAAAGUUAAUUGUACCACAUUUACAACAUUAGCAACAAUGUUACUAGAUUUGUUUUACAGAUUUACAUAUAAUUAAAUCAAAUUAAUUAUUAUAUUGAUAACAAAUUGUUCAUAAACUUGUACCUAGUAUCACAAACAAAUCUCCCUAAUCCUUUCCGCCCUAUAUGUACAUAAAUUAAAUUGAGAGAAAAAGAGAGCUUAUUCCUUAAGUGCUGUUCAUAUUCAAAAGAUAGUGUGGUUCUAAGAUCUCCUCCAAUGGAUCCAUACAGAAGUGAAUCAAAUCUAACAUUAUAUCAUGAAAAGAAGGAAAAGAAAAAGAAAAAGAUAAUGAUAUAUAUAUGGGAAGUGGAUUUGAGAACAACACGAGGACAUAAGACUCCACCAAGCUAACCUUGUUGAUAAAAAUAUUUAGGGUUUGGAAGGGAGUGAGAGUUCUUGAGUGGAUUGGUAGCUUUAAGUCCAAGUCUUUUAACAAAGAAACAACAAGAAGAGCAAAGACACAUCCCUGAUUUUGAUGCCAAAUACACGUGAGGAUGGGAAUCCAAUCCAACCCAAAUUUCUUUUUCUUCCACUAUAAUAUUUUUCUUGUAUUUUUUCUGACCAAACCACACCCUCCUCCCUAGUCCCUCCUUAACAAAUCAUUUCUACCUUAACAAUUUCUAUGUUAAUCUAUUACAAGUGACCAUAAAGGACCAAAGAGAUCGAUGACUAAACAUAUAUAAAGCUAAACGGCGCUGCUUGCUUGCUUGCUUCAAGUUUCCCUGUUUCCAGGGUCGUCGUGGCCUUGGGAAGUUCCCCUUAUUCGAAUCUAUACACGUUGGGGUUUUCUCAGUCACCACCUCACUAUCACAAACCCUAAACUCCAAUCAAAUUAGUGAAGACGACAGCAUCACCAUGACGUCUAGGGUUUCGGCUUUUCUUUUGGACGGCUAUUCUUGAGAAGCACGAUUCGAAACUAUAUACGGCCGGUGAUUGGUAAAUUCCAAUCGAAUAUAUUGUUUGAUAUAUAGUUUAUAUGUGUGUAAAUCAAAUUAAACAAAGUACAUUCAUCUUUUUUUUUUUGAUAUUAGAAUUUGAAACUUCGGGUGACAUUAAUCUAAUUGCAAAAUACGAGCUAGCUAAGUUAAUGGCCAUGCUUGCUAUUAAAAGGUUUAGUAAAUAGGUUUUAUUAGAAAUAUCGAGCUGUAAAACAUAGACAAAUAGUACGUAUAUAUGAUGGAAGAAAUGGCUAAGUCACUGAUCGAUCAUGGGAACUGGCCUUUUUUGGACCCAUUAUAUAGGAAUCUUUGAUUAUCUACUGCUCUUGUUUUAUUUAAAAUCCCCUCAUCGACUGUUUUUGUUUUUUUUUUUCCCAAAUGAAAUUUAAAAAGUCUGGGUGCAAGAUUAAUGAGGAAAAUUAGAUGAAUGUGAUUGCAGGAUUUGCAGCUGAUGUAGAUUAAGCUUUUUACUCUACAACAUCUUAUAUGCAGUAUUUGGUAUGCAUUCUAAAUCCAUUAGUAGUCAAGGAGAAGCAUUCGAUCUAUUGGUAUGGAAAGUCUAGGGCUCUAAGCAUAGAUGACUUUUCAUGUUAUUUAGCAAGCAAAGAGAGAUCGACCAGCUGCCAAGAGGGGUUGUGAUCAUUUGAAGCUUUCGAACACCUGAAUUUGUACUAUAAUUUGACUAAAUUUUCCGUAGCCAGCAGUCCACCACUCAGCGCAGACUGCACAGUCAGCAGAGCACAAGAAAACAAAAUCUUUUCUAACUCGGGUGGAGGAAGAACAAUGUUUAAUUUCAGGCAAAAAAAUUAUGGACCAUGCAUUGCGACGCCUUUCUAAUUCUUGAGGAAGACAAGCUAUGGAUAUAUAUCAUACUUUUAUUUUACAUAUACUUAGAACAAAAAUUACAAUGUUAUGAAUCAAAUUACAACAUUGAGAGCAAAUUUACCAAAUUUAUUUACACUAUUUACAUGAAGUUAAACAAAAUUACAAAUAUGAGAACAAUUUGUUCAAAAAGUUGUAAAAUAGUUGUACGUUUUAUAAUUAUAAUUAUUAGAUUACAAACAAUACGACUCAGCAUUACCAUUUUAACCAUAAAUAUGUUGUCACAUUUGUAAAUGUAGGUAUCACAUACGGGUAGGUACCAUAAAAUUCUCUUCUUGAGGUUUGCUACUCAUUAAUUCAUUCUAAGCAUAAGUGAGUAUUGCAACAACAAUAGCCCGAGACCGAUUCCAAGUAGAAAAUUGGUACAAAUUGUCCGCAAAAGCAGGGCCGGUCCUGAGAAUUAUGAAACUUGUAACGCAAAAUUUUGAAUGUGAACUUCUUUCACCCAAGCUUGAAAGUCGGAGGUCUUGUGCGGCCAAACCACAACAAGCACACCCUCAGGGCCACCCCUAGUUUGAAAGGUGGUGUCAAUAAUGUAUCAAAACUAGUAAAAAGUACGGGCUUUGGGUCUGUUCUUAAACUUUGGGUUUCAAUACAACCUAAAACAGUGUCCAUUAGGAAUGAUUGGGCCGCUCCAGACCAGACUAGAGAGAAAAGCAAAACAAUGAGAACAGAAAGCAGACAAGUCUGACUAGAGAGAAACCCAGAAACUUUGGUCUCUCUUUGUAUCACUCCCCAGAGAGAGAGAGAGAGAGAGAGAGAGAGAGAGAGAGGAAUGGGAAAAAUGGCGGCGUUGGGAGCAAGAGGGGGCGGACUGGUGCUGCCAAAGCCGGUGACUUUCGUGACUGGAAACGCCAAGAAGCUCGAAGAAGUGCGCGCCAUCUUGGGCAACUCCAUACCCUUCAACUCCCUCAAGCUCGACUGUGAGUACAAUCAAUCUCUUUCUCUUUGAUCAUUUUUGGGUUUUGAUGAAUAAUAUUAAAGGUCUUUUGUUGUUGUUUAUGUUGAGUUUUGGCAGUACCGGAAUUGCAAGGGGAGCCUGAGGACAUCUCCAAAGAGAAGGCUAGGUUGGCUGCCCUUCAGGUUAAUGGUCCUGUGCUUGUGGAAGACACUUGCCUCUGCUUCAAUGCCCUCAAGGGUCUUCCUGGUUAGUCUCUUUAUCUCUUUUUCGACUUUUCUUAUUGUUGGUAUUGGUUGUUUCUGAUUGAUUGUGUAAAUUUCAAUGCAGGGCCUUACAUGUAAGUUUUCCCUUCUGACUUGCUCUCGCCAGGUCAACUUAUCUUUUGUUGCGCAAAAUUUGACAUUUUUAUCUUAAGGAAAGAUUGGAUUUUGGUUGAAGUUUGAUAACUAAAAGGCUCAUGUAGUCAGCUUUGUGAGUAAAUAUUUGUUAUUGCUUGCCGUUUUAAUUGUUUGUAGUUCAAGGAUACCCAAUUGAGUAGUGAUUGACACUGUUGCAUACAUGCGGAUCCCUUUCUAUAACUAAGGAAGUUGUAUAAUUUCUAUAGCAGAACACAAUUUUCUUUUAAAACGAAGUCACAAAUGGUGUUGCUGUCUAAAAACCACCUCUUUCAAAUAUGACUUUAUUGAGAAAUUCGAUGCAGAAUUGCAGCAUAUUUUUUCUCUUCUAUCUGUUUAUUGCUAACUAGGGUUUCCCUGUACAUGUACACUGUUGAUUUCAUUAAGGUAUAUUCAUUUGGCCUGCUUAUUAGUUGGAUUGAUCAAUUCUCUUUAUUCUUCUUUCCUUUCUCUUCUGUUUUCAUUUCACAAUUCCUGUCUCCUUGUAACUAAGCCCCUUUUUUUCCCCUAAGAUGAGCACUACUCUCUCAUUCAAGCUCUCCCUCGUGGAGCUUUUUGAAUUUAGAGAAUCAGACAAUGAUCCAAUGUUGCACUUGGUUUCUUCUUUCAUUAUAGAACAAAAUGUUAGUCUUGGUUUUCUUGUGUUUACUCUGUGUGUACCCCUCUUUUAAAACAAUAUAGAAUUUAGAACUUGAAGAUGGUUUAUGAUGCUUUCUGAACGGGGAUGCUGUCAUUGUCUGUGCUACAAAUUGGAAAAAAAUUUCUUUUUGUUUGUACUGUGGCUAUCAUCCUCGAAAACUUACAAAUCCAUGGUGUCAUAUACUGACAAAAUGAUUUGUUCGCAAUAUGCAAUUAGUCGUUUCAAAAUUUUGUAUCUAAACACUGAUACUCCUUGAGUAUGAAAAUCUAUGGAAUUGACCAAGUAUUGAUACAAGUUAAAAAUGCCAAGGCUGUGAGGAAUGUCGCUUUUAUGACUUUCAUGUUGCUGCUCCUUUUGGUUGAGAAAGAGACAUAUAGGAAUAUAUAGGAUUAAGGCAAUGAAAUAGAGGAAGGAAUCCAUGAAACUACGUGUGACUUAUAUUUUGAGAUUUUUUUUCCUCCACUUUCAUUCAUAGUUGAGGGAUGAUAUGUUAUGUUGGCUCAGAAGGGGGUCCUCUCCCUACUAGGGUUCUAACAAGCAAUAACAAUACUCUGUAACCUUCUACUUUUCCUCAUUAUCCCAUCCCUCCCCCUCUCCCUCUAGCAAACUUACCCUAAAGUGAGAGACAAUUUUGUAGGUUACUGUCCUUUUUAUUUUUUUCUUUUUCUUUUUUUUUUUUCUGUUGACAUCUUUGUGUUUUUUUAACUGCAUCUAGUCAUUAUUUAAAUUGUUGUAGCUAAACACUAAUACGGUUAUGUGAUCUUGCUUUGACUUUUCAAGUAUUUCUUUCAACAAUGUGGUCCUAAUAUUUCUUACAACAAUGCAGCAAGUGGUUCCUGCAGAAGAUUGGACAUGAAGGUUGUAUUAUAAGCUGUUUAAUUGUGUAACAUUAUAAAUUGUCUUUUUGGCUUGCUCAAUGGUUCUUACUUGUUUAUAGGACUCAACAAUAUGUUGAUGGCUUAUGAGGAUAAAUCUGCUUAUGCUUUGUGUGCUUUUUCUUUCGCCAUUGGGCCUGAUGCUGAGCCUAUUGCAUUUCUGGGUAAAACUCCGGUAUGUAGACUACUAUUUUCUUAUCCCAAAUAUUCCAGGUGUAUUCUUACACUUUACUCUUUGUUCUAUACCUCUGUAUAACCUUUAGUAUAAUAAAUCUCUGGAUAUGAUUUUCAUGAUACCUUAUGCAUUCUGCUCAAGACAAAUGUGAAUGUUCUUUGAUGAUAAUCUGUAUACUAUCUAUGGUUUCCUAUUUUGGUUGUGGUAAUCCCUGAUAUUCUUCAUUUGAGUGAGGAUGAGUUGAAUGACACCUAAAUUAAUCAUGCAAAAGAUUAAAGAACUCUCCUCAUGGAUAAAUUAACCAACCCCCACCCCCCACCCCCGACCCAAAAAAAAAAAAAGACGGAGAGAGAAAAGUAGAUAUCUUGCUCAAGUCAAUAGAACUAGAAAGGCUUGCCUGAAACCAGGAGGAUCAUUGUGGCGCACAUUAUUUAUAAAGUGCAUUAAUAUAGAAAUGUAGGUUAUGGUUUGGUUUCUACUAUUGAAAUUUGAAAAUGAGUCCUCUAUCUACAUCUAUUUUCUUGUGCCUGGUUGAUCACGAGUCCUCAGACUUGAUCAUGUAUGACUUAAUUCUAGUUGACCUGAAAUAAGUCCUUUGAACAAGAGAAUAUUGUUUGUUGGAUUCGUAGGAUUAAACUAGAUGCUGAAAGGUGUUAGAAAGUGAUCCAUCUGUGCUUAUGUUGGUGUUUAAACCAAAAAAAAAAAAAACGAGAUUUCUACAAGGAAUUUGGAAUUUCCAGCUGUUUGGAAUAAACAGCAUAAAUAGUUUCCACAAACACCCAACCGGGUGGGCACUAACCUGCAUUUUACGAAUGAAUAUCAGGGGAAAAUAGUUCCUGCAAGGGGACCAAAUGAUUUUGGAUGGGAUCCAAUUUUUCAACCUGAUGGUUAUGAGCAAACGUGAGUGUUAUCUUUAUUUGAAGAUUCGAUUUUUUUUUCUCAGUGGUCCGCAUUGGUACUUGAAGCUGAAUCUCGUUAUUUAUUUUGUAGCUAUGCCGAGAUGUCAAAGGAAGAAAAGAACAAGAUUUCUCAUCGCUACAGAGCUCUUGCACUAGUGAAGUCUCACUUUGCUGAAGCUGCAUAUACUUUUGAGACCAACUAGUCUACCUAGGACUGAGUUUCUUCAUCAUGUUGCCUCUGCAUAGGCUUCCAUAGUAUGCAACCUUUUCCUGUCAUUAGCAAUUCUUCCAGUCUUGUUUGAUGGUCUACAAAAGCUAGAGGCAAAGUGGAAGUUACAGUUCAAACCAUUUAGUAUCUGUGCUCAUGCGAAAAUGAGAGGUUAGUGGAGAAAUACUGAAAUAGCUUUCUUGCCUGUGUUUUGAGCUACAUGUUAUAAACUAUUAAACUUUUCGACUGCUAUGCUCAAUUCAGAGAAAAGUAUUAUGAACUAUAAAGGUAUGAACUGUUCAAAUAGUUAUGGAAACCGUUCUCUAACUCCAUUAGUGUCACUCUUUACUAGUUUUAUUUUUACCCCAUAUAGAAGUUUACCGUCUUUGUUGACGUCGUUUACUUAAUCUGUAAAUGUGAAUGAAAGAGGAUUUUACAUAGCACCCAAUUCAAACCAAGUCAUAAGGUUGUUUUGUUCAUAUUUUUACUUUAUGGGAAGUACUUCAAUGGGAAAUUUCCCAAUAUCCAAACAAGAUCUUACACGAGAUGUGAUGGAAAUUUUACAAUCUUAGUCGACGUCGUUCAGAUCAUCAAUAAAAAUGAUUGAAAUAGGACUUUGUGGUUCCCCCAAUUCAAAUUAUGUCAUCAACUUGUUUGUUCAUGUUCUUACUUAAUAAGAGAGUCGAUAGACUUCAGUGGGAAGAUUCCCAGUUCUAAAACAAGAUCUUAUACAUAGAUUUGGAAUCAGGUAGUUCUUGUCAUAUUCAGUUUUACUCGGUUUGGGUUCCAAAAUGUAGACUAGUGUUGGUCUGUGGUUAACUUGAAAAAAAAUGAGUAAAUUUACAGACUUCCUAUCCAAUAGGCUGCCUAAACCCUAAUGUUUGGCUUCGUUGAUCCAACUUUGAGUUCUAAGUAGGAGGCCUUUAUGACUCGUUUCGUAUCGUAACCAACCAAAACAGUUCCUCAGACUAAAAUGAACUUGAUCACUACUUCCCAACGUAGGAAUGGAAUUUGGUCGAGGAAAAUAUACAGUCACCUAGAUCUUGUUUAUUGUCUGAUAUGGACUAAUGUGUUUGGUACUGAGCUUCGAUUACCUGUGUCAAACAGCUGCUAACAUCAAAAUGUGUAAACUAUCAUCGAGAGUUGUUUUAUCCUAUUGUAUCUGCCCGUUGUAAAACUCUGGUGUACAACAAAUGUGAUGAUAAGAAAUGGAGAGGAAUAGACUGUUUUGUUACUUGGGAUAGAGAUGAACGAAAUUGGAAUAGGAUUCUUGGUGAGCAUAAUGAGAUUUUCGGUGCAGGGAAUUUCCAAAUAUAGCAAAAAAAAAAAACAGACAGACAGGGCAGUUGGGGGUUUCCAUUGUAUCCGAUUCCUUGUCUAUUUCUCUCAAAUAUCUCCGUACCACUAUUACCAAUCGUAAUGUUUUGAGAAAACAACAAUUUUCAAUUGAGCUCUUAGAUCAUUCAUACCACUAUUAUCCAAUAAUGUUGUGCAGAUAAAUUCUCUCUAUUUUAAUGUGUAAUUUCCAAUCUUGUCUUAGAACCAACAUGUCAUUUUUAGACAUUUCUCCAAUUUUUGACGGAUGAGACACUUUUGUAUAUUCGUCCAUCACAUUUUACUAGUUCUCUUCAGGACUUUUUUAUUAUAUAUAUAUAUAUAGCAUAUAUCAAGCCGUGAACCGUCCGAUCGUUUAUGUUAUACAAAUGUGUAUAGCAGCCGAACUCGUUCUCUUCGUACAAUAUGAAUUUCGCACGUAACAAGAAACAAGAACCACACGAAGCAGAAAUUGCAUAAGAACUUUCUGUUGCCGUAGAAAGAAUCGGUUGCAGAAAAAUGGGGGUUAAGAGCGAUAUAUGGUCCCAUGCCUACAAGGCAAGGCAAAGGGUCGAAAGAAAAUGAUCCUCACAUGCCAAAUGGGCCAUGACUCACAUGGAAGCUAAAAAUGCUAAAUCUUCCAUCUCUAUUUUGGUGAUAUCAUGUAACACCAUGAAAUAGGACUCAUCGCAUAAUCACCAUCAACAUUUAUUUCUUCUUCUUCUUCUUCUUCUUCUAAACAAGUUAGGGCUGGUGGUGGUGGUGGUCACUCUCUGGUGGUGGUGAUGGUGGUGGGUCAUUUUGGGCACCUCCACAUGCUUCUGCCGUUGCAGCUAGCUAGCUUCCUUCUAUCCUUCUUCUGCAGACCUGACCUUUCAGAAUAUAUAUAUCCGUUGUGGAAUUGAUGGUACUAAAUACCAAAGUAUGUUGCUAUCUGAAGGACUAGUUUUGUACUCAUGUAAAUGCAGUAAUGGUAUUGGGUAUUACAUUAGAUACAACCAUUUUUGCGCUAGAAACAAACCUAUCCUAUGACUUAAAGAUCUUUUGUUAAAACAACGAUAUUUUCUACCAGAUAACUGUCAUAUUAUGUUGUCAGAUUGCCAACUGGACCUAUCCACAUGAACUUCACCUUACAGUUCGAAAGCAUCUAAUGCAACUUCUUACAAUUAUUUUCACUUUUAACUUAGGCAUGCAUACCACGUUCAUGUUAUCCUGAAUCACAUCACGAUGGAGUCAACCUCACAAUUGAGCAAGGUUCUUGACAAAUUUGGUUCACACUUUAUGUACAGAAGAUAAAGUUUUGCCCUCUUUCGUAAUGUUUUACUUGUUGCAGUCCUUGUUUUUCAUAUAUCACUUGAUAGUUAUGGAGAAGAUAAGAUGAUUGUUCCUUGUGGUCUCCUGUUUCUGCUAAACAAUUACCAGAGGAAGUUGUGACAGUCAAGUAAUGAAUGAGUUGGUAACAUGAUGCUAAAGGUGAGGGAAAGGGUGAUGAUGAUUUAACAUGUUGGUUUGUUGGUUGGUUAAUGACUUGAUUUGUAUCAUGUGGUAUGUUGGGAGAGAGCACAUGGAGCAAUUAGAAAUGCCAGUAGAGAACCAAACAUUGAUGAUUGAUAGUUGAGCAUAAUGAUAUUUAGAGAGAACCCACUUGUAUUGCACAACCAAAAGUAAAAGAUUGCUUCCAUUGCCAUUUGCCAAAGAAGAAAAAAAGCUUAAUAAGUGAAAAGGUACAAAACAUCACUGCCAAUUGCUAUGCUCUCUCUCUAGAAGACUGUAAUGAAGUCCUUUCAUAACCCAAGUUUUGACAUUCAUAUCUCACACUAUUUGCUUGUAAGACUCUAGACAAAAGCAGAAACCCAGAAAACCAUUCAUAUCCUAUAAUAAGACCCCAAAUGUAUGCAGAUGAAAAAUACUGACACUGGGAGGGAAGAUAGACAAACAAGGACACACAAACUGUGGUUAGAAUAUGGUGGUGGUGGUGGUGGUAGAUAGGAUGAAACAGAGUAAGACCGAAAGAUAGGAUAUAAGGAAAAAAAAGAAAAACAUGAACAACACUUCUGCACCUGCUCCUAAAAUGGCAUUGUAUUUUUCAGAGGAAGCAGACCGAGGUUGAGCAAUGACAGAAUAGACAGUUUGGCGGGGGUGGGAGGGAAAUGGAUUCGGGUUCAGAUUUGGACUCGACAAUAUAGUGACAUGUGUAAAUAAUGUACACUUGCCAGAUUUUGAAGAAUAGAAAGAUGGGGUGAAGAAACCAAUUGGUGGAAUAUUUUGAAAUUGGGUAAUGUUCUAUAUAAGUGUAAAGCUGAGAAUGAGAUACUACGAGUACUAGCAGGUACGUCCUCUGCGGCAUCCAAGUGCACCAGCACCAGCAGUUAUGGUUCCCACCAUGGCCGAUGACUUGGCUCCCAAGCUUGAGGCCCUGGCAUAGACAGCUGACGCUCCAGCUCCAGAUGGAGUGAAGAAGGCACCAUUGAGUAGAAGAUCACCUUCUGACCUCCAGUUCCAGCCCCUCCACUGAGUUUGCGAUGUCUCCACUCUCUUGGUAACCUUCACAACGCGAUUUUUCACCAAUAAUCAGAAAACUUAGUAUGUAAACUUCGUCAUAAUCAAAAGGUAGAUGUGAGUAGCGAUUAAGACAAUACCUCCUUUGCAAAGGGGUUGGUUGGAGCUGCAUAUCUGUUGCCUUGGCUGUUGAUAGUGGGGUCUGCACUUCCACCGAUGGCAUACAUUUCCCAGUGAGUGUAGUCGUUGUUCACCACAUGGAAAUAUCCAUGUCUGCACCUGCAUUAUUCAUAGUUCAUAGCAGCAUUAACAAAUGCAACUCUGCUACCAAGGCAAAAUCCGAUUUCAAUAUUGAAUAAUGUCAUAAGUAGGGUUGCUGUUUCUUGCAGCCAAGUUUUAUGUCCAGAACUCAUCCUAAUUGAAAUCGACAUAUCAGACAUGGGAAGCUAAAUAUGCCGGUUCUAGUUGAAAAAUUACCUUGGCAUUCUCUGGAUAAGUCCCUCUCCAAAGUGGUUGUAGGCAAUAGUCACUUGCAUUUGCUUGUCCCUGGUAUAAGAAUCGCUGUGGCCCAACAGCAUUACCUGAUUCAAUUGCAUAGAUAAAAAUGUCAGUAUCACAACUAAAAUAUAGAUGGAAGUAAAUAUUAAUCGGGAAGAGGCAUUAGACAUACUUCAUUGUGGUGGGUAAGGUGGUUGUUGGAGAUGGUAAUAGCAGUUGACCCCAUGACAGCAUCAACAAGACCAUCAGCACAAUUGGAGAGGGAAUUGUGAUCAACCCAGAUAUGGCUUGACCCGAAGAUGGAGAUAGCAUCACCAUCAGCCAUUGUCCUCCAUCCAAAGUGAGAUGGGGAGCUCCUCACCAAAGCAUUUCCUGUGGGCUUGCA